rnacentral:lncRNA from 1 species
UUUCUGCAAAGGCAUUGAAUGAGCGAGCGAAACCCUCGCGCUGAGUGCGUGGCGUGGAUUUAUGUAAGGGACAGCUUCUAAAGCUCCAGCGGGAGGGCCGGCGCCGCUCCGAAACCGCAUGCAAAUGCUCCGAAGUUGGGCUGCGAGUUUCGGAGUCGUACUUCAGCAAAAAAAAAAAAAAAAAAAAGAAAGAAAAAUCAUCGGGGUUGCGUCGCCCACGAGGUUUCCUCUCCCCACAGCUGCUGCUUUCGGGGUGCCGCCGCUUUUGGGGGAUUUCAGGGGCCGUGAUGCUCCUAGGGCUGUUUUUCCGAAACACAAAAACCUCCCCGAUGCGAGCGGUGACCCCCCCCCCGUGGGGCUCUUGUGUUAUUAUCGUUAUUAUCACUGCCGUUACUGUUAUGUUAUAUUCUGAUUUCCUCCUGCUUUGUCUUCCCCCCGGAGGAGAAAUCCUGCUCUGCUCUUCCCCGGCCCCCCCAGCCCCCCGAGCCGCCCCUCUGGGGUUCUUCGCGCCGCCCCCGCGGCGGCCCCGCGCCGGGCGGGGUGGAGGGGAUGCUCGAAGGCUCGCCGAGCGUCUCCCCGCCUCGCGGCACGGCGUGAAAAUCCACCUCCAGCGUCCUCUUCGGCUCGCAACCUCUUCCCAUUCCCGGCGGAUCGAUGGCACAAGGAGCCCGUUCAAUUUUCGGGGUGCCGCCCCGGCUGAUUUGGGGACGCGGCGCCGGUUAUUGGGGUGCCGUGCGCCUCCCGGGGAUGCUCAGGAGGGCAGUGCUGAAACCCGGCGUGAAAAGUUUCCGUGGUUUUUGUUGUUGUUUUUUUUUUUUUUCCUCCCAAACCAUUUUAAGUUUGGAAACGCGAAACAGCUGCUCUCCGUCUUCGCUUUGCAUAUCUUUUUUUUUUUUUUUUCCACCCUUUUUGGCAGAAAAAUGAAACCAAAGCCGGGCUCGGCUGAGCCCGCAGCUGUCCAGCUCGCGUCAGGGCGCACGGUGCGGGGCCGGGCAGCAUCCUCACGGGUUGAAUUUGGGGCAGAUCUUGCUGUUUUGGGGGAUUUCUCUAUUGGAUGCCACGGUCUGCGCACGAUGGGGAAACUGAGGCACGGUCUUCUCGCUCCUUCCCACCCAGAACCGGCCGCUGGGGGCCUGUGGGGACAGGGCUCGAUGUGUGCUAAGGGUAUUUGGGGUUUAAUAUCGGAGCUGGAAAGGCUCGAGGCUGCCUGGAAUAGGGGCACAGGCCGGGAUUUCGUGCAGAAGUGACUUUUCCCCGUGCUGGUGACCCACGGCGUCCCGGGCUGCGACACUCCAGCACCAGCUGACGAACCGGGCGCUAUUUCCAGGCGCCCUGCUAAAUGAACUCUUCCCCUCCCCACGUGUGUGGAAAGGGCUUUGAAAAUACGGCCUUCCCGCUGGAGGGGGAAGGCUUAGAGGACGGGGAAUUAAGAAACGAAGAGGAAUUUAGGUCUCGUUUAGGUCCCGUUCGGAAAGGGAAUAAGCAGGAGGGAGGAGGGGGUGCCGCUGGCGGUGCCGCGCUGCGGGACGAGGGUGUUUGCGCUCCGCUGCCCGCCCAGGGGGGCUGUGAAGGCUGCUGUUUACCUUCCGGGGCUCUGGUCCAAAGUUUGGUCUUCAGUGUACGUACAGGGCCCGUGUCGAGCCAUCCCGACUUGGGGAGUAAUGUGGUUUUCUUUCAGCAAGCGCUCCGGCCGGCGGAGGGGAAGAAAACGGAGAAAAAUCUCCCGACGGCGUUUUAUCUGUAAUUAGAAGUUGUUUUUCAAACCCGGGAAAUAUUUUUCCCAGCUUGGGCUGCAGCAGCUCCCCCGGUCUCCCCCGCCGGAGCUUUGGAGCCGCUUCCUUCCUCGGGAGGAGCUGGAACCCGAACGGGAGCACGGCUGGGACCCCGCAGGUCCCACCGGGGUGAGGUUUUGGGGUGUGGGCGGCGGGGACGGGUUUUGGAGAGCGACCCGGUGCUUCCCCAGGGAAGGAUGCUCGUGGUCGAUUGACCCCAGAGGGUCGUGCUGGCAUCCCGAGGGACCUGGGCAGGCAGGAGAGGGGGGCUGACACAAACCUGCAGCUCGACGAGGAGAAGCCCAAAGUCCUGCCCCUGGGGAGGAACAGGCCCAGCACCAGGACAGGCCGGGGGCACCCAGCUGGAAAGCGGCUCUGCAGAAACGAACCUGGGGGGACUCCUUGGAGAGCUCCCCGAGCCGCCAGGACGUGGGGCUGGGCACCCUACGGGGGCACCCAGGGAUGUCCCCAAGCC